GAGAGCAAACUAUACUUGCGUACGCGGACGUUAUGGCAUCUCGAGUACGGUUACUAUCGCAUUCGUCCAUCGUGUCUACUGAAGGUUGUUUGCUCGUCCUUCCAUCUUAACGUUCUGAUACCUAAAUUGAUCGAGUAUCAUCAUAAUAAAGUAUCUCGUAAAUUUCGAAUAAACACGAAGAGGCAACGAUCGCGUUCGAUAAUUAAGCAAUUAAAUUUCUUUUGGUUAGUUAUCAUCAUCAAUGUUAUUAUUCAACGAAUUCGUAUACGUUCAAUACGAGGAUCGUCCCGAUCUGCGUUAUGCAAACGAACGAGAUAAAAAUACUUUACGUUACACCUGGCGAUAAAACGUACGCGCAAGAGAGUGCAAUUCGAUUAUCAGUGACGCUCGUUCGUCUGCGCUUAUAUCGGCGCUCUAAACAGCCAAUGGGAGCAUACCUUCUACGGACUGAAAUAGAUCUUAUCGUAAAGGCCUUAUCGAUAUUUUCAACUUAGUUUGUCCGAGUCAAAUACGCUGCGACAGAUUUUUACACGGUCACAAGUCUUACGCGAUUACCUAUUACUACGUCUUUUCAUCGUAGUUUUGCGCAGCGAUAUUUCCGCGUCGAAGAUUAAUCGAUAAAUAUAAAAUCGCAAGAAACGAAGACCGUCAAAUAUUUCCUUCGAAUAUUUAUCUGUGGAAGACGCGAGUCCGUGGUAUCUGCUGCUUUGGUCCAGGAUAAUUAUUUAUGUCAGAUAGGAUCUCAACUGGGGUUCUACGUUGGGAAACAAAAGGAUCCGGCGAUGGGAAGGAUAGGAACUAAAGGGAAGAGGAUUCUGGGAGGUUGCCGGAGGAUCACCGAACUCUAUUCUUUCUCCUAAGACGUAAGGAAUACACGAAAGAAGAGGAGAACUGACAAGGACCUUGAUGAAAUGAAGGGUCGACUCGAAAAACCAAAGAUCCUUGAAAAUAUAUAUAUAUAUAUAUAUAUAUAUAUAUAUAUAUAUAUAUAGUAUAUAUACACACAAGAUAUAUACUUUCUUUUUUCAGUAGUAUCAAUGACAAACUCGACGAAAGAUCGAAAACGUAAUUAAUUAGCUUCCCACUGAAGUCGCUGAAUUAACGACCUACUUAUUUGCGUGCGACGUUAUUAAUAUUAUUAAAUUCGUCCGAGAACAGCGGGUAUAGAAAAGACAUAAAGUAUUAUUUUUGAGACGUACUGUUUUGUGUUGUGUGUAGGUUGUACGAUGUAAACAAGACUUGAGGGAGAAAGAGUUUCUCCCUCGUUUCGACGGGCUAUAAAACCGUCAAUGAAUAAACCUGUUGAUAAAUAUUA